UACGUAGGGGGCAAGCGUUGUCCGGAAUCAUUGGGCGUAAAGAGCGUGUAGGCGGUCCGGUAAGUCGGCUGUGAAAGUCCAGGGCUCAACCCUGGGAUGCCGGUCGAUACUGCCGGACUAGAGUUCGGAAGAGGCGAGUGGAAUUCCCGGUGUAGCGGUGAAAUGCGCAGAUAUCAGGAAGAACACCCGUGGCGAAGGCGGCUCUCUGGGACGGUACUGACGCUGAGACGCGAAAGCGUGGGGAGCGAACAGG
rnacentral:rRNA from 1 species